UACAGAGGUCUCAAGCGUUGUUCGGAUUCAUUGGGCGUAAAGGGUGCGUAGGCGGCGCGGUAAGUCGGGUGUGGAAUCUCGGAGCUUAACUUCGAAACUGCAUUCGAUACUGCCGUGCUUGAGGACUGGAGAGGAGACUGGAAUUUACGGUGUAGCGGUGAAAUGCGUAGAUAUCGUAAGGAAGACCAGUGGCGAAGGCGGGUCUCUGGACAGUUCCUGACGCUGAGGCACGAAGGUCAGGGGAGCAAACGGG
rnacentral:rRNA from 1 species